rnacentral:rRNA from 1 species
AUUGAACGCUGGCGGCAGGCCUAACACAUGCAAGUCGAACGAGUGGCGGACGGGUGAGUAAUGUCUGGGAAACUGCCCGAUGGAGGGGGAUAACUACUGGAAACGGUAGCUAAUACCGCAUACCAUCGGAUGUGCCCACAUGGGAUUAGCUAGUAGGUGGGGUAACGGUUCACCUAGGCGACGAUCCCUAGCUGGUCUGAGAGGCUGACCGGCCACACUUGAACUGAGACACGGUCCAAACUCCUACGGGAGGCAGCAGUGGGGAAUAUUGCACAAUGGGCGCAAGCCUGAUGCAGCAAUGCCGCGUGUAUGAAGAAGGUCUUCGGGUUGUAAAGUACUUUCAGCGGGGAGGCGUUAACCGAAGAAGAAGCAACGGCUAACUACGUGCCAGCAGCCGCGGUAAUUC